rnacentral:rRNA from 1 species
GAUGAACGCUGGCGGCGUGCCUAAUACAUGCAAGUCGAACGAAGAUCUAGCUUGCUAGAUCUUAGUGGCGAACGGGUGAGUAAUACAUAAAUAAUCUGCCCAUGUGACUGGGAUAACUAUUGGAAACGAUAGCUAAUACCGGAUAGGUUAAUUGGAGGCAUCUCCGAUUAAUUAAAGUAGGAUUUCUACACAGAUGGAUGAGUUUAUGGCGCAUUAGUUAGUUGGUGGGGUAACGGCCUACCAAGACGAUGAUGCGUAGCCGACCUGAGAGGGUGACCGGCCACACUGGGACUGAGACACGGCCCAGACUCCUACGGGAGGCUG